rnacentral:lncRNA from 1 species
UGGUGUUGUAUGUAUAUAUAGGGCCGGAGUUGGGAGUGGUGAGGCCUCACGGCGACGAGUCUUCUUCUUGAUCUCGGGUCGAAUUAGGUGAGUGUCAGAAAGAGGAAUCAACGAUGGUUUCCUCCAUGAUGGUCUCCUCGGCUGCCACCUUCACCCGGGCUUCCCCGGCUCAAUCCAGCAUGGUGGCGCCGUUCACCGGCCUCAAGUCCGCCUCCGCCUUCCCUGUCACCAGGAAGCCCAACGCCGACCUCUCCCACCUCCCCAGCAAUGGCGGCCGAGUUCAGUGCAUGAAGGUACGCACGUACAAGGCUCGUGGCUCGAGUCGGAAACCUCUGUUACCGAGAUAGCCGUUACGAAUCAUAUACUGUGGAUGUAAUUCUUACGACAGGUGUGGCCGAUCGAGGGCAUGAAGAAGUUUGAGACCCUGUCCUACCUUCCGACACUGAAGGACGAGGAGUUGCUGAAGCAGAUCGAGUACCUUCUCCGCUCCAAAUGGAUUCCCUGCUUGGAGUUCUGCCCCGUAAGUAACUUCACCUGCCCCAUGGUGGGCAUCCGGUAACCUUGAUAUCCAGCAUGCAUACCGGGGAUUGAAGUCGAUCGUAAUGACCAUAACAGAAAGGGUUCGUGUGGCGCGAGAACCACCGGUCGCCGGGGUACUACGACGGGCGGUACUGGACCAUGUGGAAGCUGCCCAUGUUCGGGUGCACCGACGCUGUGCAGGUGGCGAAGGAGGUGGAGGAGUGCAAGAAGGAGUACCCCCACGCCUUCAUCCGCAUCAUCGGCUUCGACAACAACCGCCAGGUGCAGUGCAUCAGUUUCAUCGCCUACAAGCCGACCGGCUACUAGACGAUUCGGAUCCGGCUCUUCGGAUUUGCUUUCUUUGGUUCAGUGUUGGAUGUUUCCCCUUCUCUCGUUGUCUCCUCUACGCAACCGCCGACAGUGCAGCAGCGCACUGAGGCCGUCUAUGUUUUGUUUCCCCAAGAACGCGGAGCUUGUAUGUUAAGAAGUUUAUUAUGGACGUUCGCUUAUUUAUAAUAAAGGCUACCCAAUGUGUUUGAUUUUACCUGUAUCCGUCUGCUGUGGGUGGAAGAAUCCCGUACCGUAGUCGGCAGACGUGUGGUGUGGGGGUUGAAGCUUUGCUCUGGCCCAACCUAAUGUUAUCUGGGCUCUGUAUUGGGCCGAUCUCGGCCUACUUGGACGAUCAACCGCUGGGUCAACGGUCAAACACCGCGCGCAUGUCUUCUUCUUCUCCCUCCCCUACUAAUUUAAUGGAAAUAGAUAUAUGGACCCCCAAAAAAAAAAAAAAAAAAAUGUCAUCAUCUCGCAUCCGACGCACCAACAAACGCGCCGUGGCAAAAGCAGUACGAGAGGUUUCCUAUCGUCGUCGGUCGUGAAGAGUAGCAAAGUAGAUCGAGCCCAAGCGAGGAACGUCACGUGCGAGCAUAAUUCGUGUCGGCCCUUCGCUCGUGGUGGGGUACCGCCGCGGUGCCCGGUACCGUGUCGGAUGAUGUAUAUUAAUGAAGCCAACCGUGUGUGAUAUCUCAACUCAUGCUGUAAUCACCGUUUGAAUAGUUUGAUGAACGGUGUCCAUAUCCACAGCAUGCGUGACACAUUUGGUACCUACCCAUUAAAAUACAAUACCAUUCAGAGCACUCUCUCGAUUUAUUUUACUUUUUCUAUUAUUCUUCUUCUUCUUCUUCUUUUUUUCCUUUGGAUAAAUCCUCCUCCGACUCCCUUCUUCCCCAUUCCUAUCUCCUUCCCCUCUUCGGAUUCUCUCUCUCUCUCUCUCUCUCUCUCUCUAGUAGGGAGGCGGAUAAGGUACAUAAAAAUCCGGUCUUUGCCUCCUGCGCUUCUUUUUCUUCCCUUCUUCUUCGAUUCUGAGGGGUGAUCGGCUUCUUUUGUGGGAGAUCCCUCUCGUGGUGUCGCGCGCCGGUGGUUUUCCAAACAGAGUCGGGAUUUUUACUGGUUUUUGGAGUUUUCCUUCUUCUCGAAAUUUCGCACCCUCCUGCUUUUAUGGGAAACAGUGAAAUGUUCAAACUUGCCUGCAAAUACGUCCGAGUUUUCGUAGCUGCGGCGUUGUUUCUACCGGAUUCAAACGGAGAAAACCGCUUUUCUUGUUGGCUAAUUUAGUUGUCACGACAGGCGUUGCCAUCGUAAAGAUUGGGCGAACAUGAACCGCUGCGCGAUGCAACAGAACCCUUUCGCCGCCUACGAAGAGAUGAGGACCGCUUUCGCCGCCGCGGAAAGGAAGCCCCCUGUCUUCUGCCCGAAGCCCCGGCGGCUCAGCCCGCCCGCUGGCGUCGCCGAUCCGAUCUGGCCCCUCCGUUGGCACUCGAGGUUGACAUAUAUAACAACCCCUCCUCUGCUACGACACCGCAAAAGUUUCCCCUUUUCGUGUAUCUGAUUCCACCUCUCUCUGUCUCUCUCUUCUGCUCUUCUCAGUCGUCAAGCAGAUUUCUCCGAUUCGAACGCCGUGGCGGACCUUCUUGACAUCUUGCUCGCAAAGGUGAGAUUUUUUGUUGACGUUGUAAUAACAUGUGUAUUUGAUGUAGCUGAUACCGAAGAAAAUAGAUCUGGAAAACCUCUGUUAUUGACGUCUAUUAUCACGAUUUGUUCGCAGGAUGGUGAAGAACAGAACCGAGAGGCUUCUUCGCCGCCCUUCUUCUGCGGCUCGCCUCCAGACCGUGCGGCAAACCCGGUCGUCCAUGACGCCCGUUUCGGCGAGGACCGUCCGCCGCUGGCGCCGUUCGCCCCUGUGCAACCGACCCAGUCCGUCACGCCGAUGUCCCCCAAGCACGCCAAGUUCGGGCUCCUGCCGGCGGCCGUGCGGGUCGAGGGUUUUGAUUGCCUCGAUCGCGGCUGCAGCAGCAUCGCUGCUGUGGCCUGAACGCCCGCAUGCGCCUCCGAGCUUUCUUUUGGAGCGCGGUGAGAGGAAGAGUGAGAGGAAGGGAGAAUUGACAUCAACAAAUCAAAGAAACCAGCUGUAGGAGAAGAACAAGUUGGUAAUCUGGGAAUGCGUUUUGGCUCUCCAUGUAAACUGUACAUCUUACUAGUGGUGCACCAAUGUUGUGUACUAUUUGUGUGGGAGAAUUGUAUGUAGAUAUCAAAAUAAGGAAGAUAGAGAGUUAGGAGGAGGAGGAGAAGGAAAGCCAAGUUUUUUUGUGUUUUGUUUUGAUCCAUAUGGACGGUAAGAGGUUCUAUUUCAUCCUGUGCUGAAAUAUUCAUCAUCUUGUAUAGAACUCUUAGGAGGAAAUCCUCGAAUCAUGAAAUUGUGUAUCUAUUCAUCAUGUAUAAAAUUUUGUAUUCCUUUUCCUCUCUAUGUUUAUGGUGCCUCUUGGAGCUCUCGAGACGGUGGUGUUGCGAUUGAUGUGGCUGCCACCAGCGAAAAGAUGUUGCGCUUAGUGUUAAGAGCAUCGUUGGACGGAGAUGACUGGAGACGUGGCUUCGUGUUGGAAUAAUGUCAUCUUAUCAGAGCAGAUAUGGUCAAUAUCGUCGACUGAUACGAGAGGCGAUGGGUAAGGAGGAAGAGGUGGAGGAUAAGAAGGAAAUGGGGGCAGGAGGGCCCAGCAAAAGGGGUGUGAGGUCAUGUCUUCUCCACCGAGCUGUCUCUGUUCAAGUGGCGCUGUCGCGAAGAAAAAAAAUAACGAAGUCCAUGCCACCACCAUUCUUUGAAUUCUCCACAUGUGUUCGUCCGUGAUGACUGACUAAUUCAACAACGGAUGGAUCGACUCCGAGACGGACUAAAUGUUCUGUGCCUAACGAAGGAUGGACACAAGUGGAUAAUGCUUUGACAAAGGUGGCUAAUUGGCACGCGAUUUCCAGGGUCUUCUGUAUGCACAGAGUCAUGAGCUGUAAUAGGCCAAUGUCGUGAACUAUAUAAUAAAUACAUCGAUGGAAGUCAUGAGCAAGUGGGGAAAAGAAAAGCCUCGGCGAUUUCUUUCUACCCGUUGCCGUCCUGCUUUGCGUCCGACCGUCUCAUUCCAUCCCGCAUGAGAUACGGUGCUGUCGGAAGAGAUUCGGACUCGCAUUAGGUUCCGAUCUCUCCGAGCGUUCGUUCAGACACAUCGCCAGGGAAAAGAAAAAGAGUAGUAGAAUCCAUCCAACUUGUGCUUGCCAAAUAAGCAGAUAAGAGGAACGAAGGCUGGGUUCACAAGCAGUCAACGUGGCCACUUUCCACACCACGGCCUUCGUCCGCAGACCAUUCCUCAUCCCAUCCAAGUGAGUCCAAAAUCUCCACUGCUCACCUCAGGCGUGAAUGCAGAUAAAGAGGAAACAAAGCGGACGUGUCCUCUGCGGAACAUGUGGUCCGCCAUGCACGUAUCCCCUGUUACUCUUGGCCUCGGCGAGACGACGUGCCGAUCCAUGGGUGGAAGAGAGACGGAAGGAAUAGGAGAGAUCCCACGACGUGCAAUGUUUCAUCGCCCACCGUGCUGCACUCGCACAUGGUCUGCGGCUUCUCCCCGGCGCAUGGAAACCAAAUAUGGGAUCGGUGGGAGAAACAGGAUCGGAAACCUGUCUCCACGGUACCACUUUCCUUCCGGUACCCAACCGAUGAAGGGAUGCGUAGAGAUCGUAAUCGAAGCAUCUGACUGCAGGAACGCUUAGAGAAUUCACUCGUUGCAAGCACCAUAGCCUCGUCCUCGUACCAUGCCAUUCUCGAUGAAGGAAUCAGAAACUGGGCGAAGCGAAGGACAUGCCACGUAAAGCAGAAGAACAGGGCACAAAGAAAGGAUUCCGGUGGAGAAUAAAGAGGGAGGAGAGUCUGGUCCAUUGCUUUUGUCGACAGAUGGGUAUCGUUUGAGACCCACCUGGAUCGCUAUGGUGAUGAUAGAUAGAUAGAUAGAUUCUUGAUGUUUAUUCUCCCAUCAAAUCAGUAACAGGGAGGAGUGAAACGGAGCGAGAGAGAGGAGGGACAACACAUUUACGGAGAACCUACAUGUGUCGAGACAGGAAAACAAUGACAGGCUACAGGUGGGUUGCGUACACUCAAACCUUUGUCGCCGCAACUGGAUGCGAAUGGGAGCUGUCGGCGAAGCAAGCAAUCGGACCUGAGUUGGCUCACCGCAGAUGCCUAAUGAUUGACGCGGAAAAGGCCAAAUCGAAGAGAUUUGGUUUGCACGAUUGGGGUGUGCAGCCAACUCGGGUUGAGUCACCUGCUGCGGCGCCUUUGAUUAGCUCUUCCUCUGGUGGGGGUGGACGUGUCCACCUGUGGCCAUAAGACCCGCCGCGAGUGGUGGUCAAAACAAAGAAGGCCUUGGGAACGACGGAGGCCGACUUUAACGUGGCAAACGGCUGUGUGCCACCUUUACUGAUGUGCCCAAAUCUUUAACAAAAAUAAAUAUUCGUGGACCGCUGGGGUGCUGAGAGCAUCUGCUUUUUAUAAUACGAAAAGAAAAGCCUGUUCGUACGACAAUCUUACUCUGGCGGAGUGGCUGAAGGAACAUUCCUUUUUCUUCUUAUAUAUAUAAUUACUUUCUUCGUGUUCGUGAGCUCCAACUCAGAAACUUCCCUUCGUUCCUAUCUUUACACAUGUUUGCCUGAAUAGAUGCUUGGAGGUGCUGUCAACGUAAGAACGCUUGAAACUGAUAAAAGGAUGGGGCUCGAUGUCAAACAUCAUAAGAGAAAAACUAGGUCAUGUCGUCUAGGAUUAAUGUUCUUUACGAUUAAGCAUGCGAGUCCUUUCGAAAUCAUGAUCGAGAAAAGUCCAAAAGGAUAAGCUUAGCCAUCGUGUAUCAAUGAUUCUUUACGAUUAGGCAUGCGAGUCCUUUCGAAAUCAUGAUCGAGGAAAGUUCAAAAGGAUAAGCUUAGCCAUCGUGUAUCAAUGGUUGCUCUAAUUUAUGAUCACAUGAGGGGGGUUACCUUACAUGCGUGUCGACUCCAAGUGGUGGCUCACGAUUAGGGUGAGUCAUCGAUCUAAUGCUUGUGUCAUUGUUUUUCCUAUCAACACCUAUAGUUUUUUCUAAUAUCAUCAUAUUUUUAAUAUAUUUUAAAACACUAAUAUCUCCUGAUAAAAGUCUAAUAUACAAAAGAGUAAAAUUAUUUAUUUCAUUAAAUUUUCAUAAUAAAAUAGUAAAAAUGGAUGACAUCUUUGUUCAAAUUUUUAUCAUAAAAAAUUUUAGAUUCUGAUGCCACUUUUAUAUCCUACGAAGAGUUAGCAUUUUUUAUUUCUUCAUAAUAUUUUUAAUUUUUAUUAGACUGUGUUGAACAAGGAGGUGUUUCAUCCUCCUCUUCUAUUCAAUUAUUGAACACAACUAUUCUUUCCAUUAAAUUUUUAUAAUAAAAAUUAAAAUUUAAUCGAGCUAUUUUUUUAAAAAAAUAAAAAAAAAUAGAUGAGAAAAAGUAAUAGCGACCCCUCCAACCAACCCCUCAGCACACGACAACAUGAACAGACUAGUCUAAACGCAAAAGUAAUAUUGACCCGUUACACUAAUUUGCUUUUGGUGGGUUGUCCGUACGGACAUCGGUGGGUAUAAGGCACGCAGCCCAUGUGGGGGUCGACUGCAGAAAUAACUCCGUCCUCGGCGACGAAGCUGAAGCUGAAGCUGGCAAUUGUUUUCUCAGAAUCAGAAUAUUCAAUCGGCCACCAUAAAUCAAAUGAAUAGGAAGAACAAAAGAAGCACAGACCAGCGGUGGUGGGAAGGUGAAGGUCGUGAUCGUCGCCGUAAAUUUUAAUAGAAACGAGCGAAGAAAAGAAAAUAUUUCGAAAUUGGACAAACAAUGGCUCCUUAAUUUAUUAAGUAGCGACACGCCGGUGACUGUGCGGGAGCGGGAGGAGGAGGUGGAGGUGGAGCUCCGCACGACGGAUUCGCCUCCGACCGCCCCUCCCUCAUUAUUUCGUCUGUCGGUCACGCACGGCUGUGGUCCGCACCUCUCUCUCUCUCUCUCUCAGACACGUGACCCCCCGCUUAUCCGCUCCAAAGCCGCGACGCGAACCGGACGCGCUGCGUCUGCCACGUUGCUGCCGGCCCCUCGUAACGUAGCCACGUGUACUCUUUAGCCGGGUUCGACCCGGCUCGGGUAGCCAUGCCUUUCGAGCGACGACUCGGCCCGUCACGAGUCCUCACACCGCCCCACCCACGACGACGACGACGACAGAUAUAGAUACGUCGCCGAACCCAGUACGUUCCUGCCGUGUCGAAGACGUUUCGGUCCGUGACGCGCCCGUGGCGACCAACAUGCCUAGCGUUAAUAGCGACGGGUGUUACUCCUCUUUCGGCUUAAAAUCACCGGAGUAAACAGAUCCGGAUUCGACGCGUCGAGUUGAUGGCUGCGUGCAUUUAGGGGAAGGUCUGGUGCUCGCACCACGCCUCUUUGAUUCAUUCCAUGCAUGCUUUUGACGGACGCACGCGCCAAUGAACGUCGAGAUUCGCGACGGACAGAAUCGCUGAGUGGGUCCGCCGCGGGGCCUCCAUGUUUGGCCAUUAUUGAUUAUUAGAGGUGGGUAGGCGCGGGCAGCGAUUGGGUUUCCUCGUUUCCUUUUUUUUCUUAUUCCUUCCUUUCCGUGGGCGAUUUGGUUACCACCGCAUCACCCAUCGAGCUGACAAAGAAAGAUAUUGAUGCCCACCCUGAAUAGCCUUUUUCUUUUUUCUAAUCUUUCUUUGGCGCUGUUGAGGUCAAAUAAAAUUAUAUUAACAUCAUGAUCGUUCGUUUACCCGCGGAUGGUGGAUGAUGGCAUGGGAGUUAUCCUACCAAUAUGUUAGCGGCUACGAUUCCUAAUUUAAUCUUCCAAGUUAUCCUACCCCAACAGGAGGUCAAACUCGACAACGAGAGGGAGGAUAACGUCGAACGUUUCUCACCGUUCAAAUCCAGAGGAUAGAGAAGGGAGAAGAAUAAAAAAAACAAAAAAGGAAGAUGCGCCCAAAUCCAGCCGAGCCGAGAAGACCAAGCCAAACCACGUACCGCCUCAGCCACGCCGACGACGGGGUCACUGCCCCGGACGCCAGCUCCGGACUCCAAACCCGACCCAUACGUGUCCAAAUUACCUUUCCUUUUCCCUUCAUUAAAAUAAAAAAAAGCAAGACACACCCGUGAUGCGUGGGCCCCUCCCACCUUAUUUCCCCCCCACCCCGCCCCCCUUAUUAUUAUUAUUAUUAUUAUUAUUUUACUCGCUCUUCCAUCUGUUAUGGACUUUAUCACGCCACCCACCGUAUUUCUCGUGUCUCGCGAAACGUCCCCAGAAAAAGAAAAAAAGGAAAAUGAAUAGAAAUCCGCCCCUCCUCUUUCCCUCCCUAUAUAAACUCCCCCUCCACCGUGGACGAAACCAUUCACAUGCUUACUCACGCUUCCGUGCUCCUGUUUUGAGUUUUGACCUUCUUCCUACUCGGCCCCCUUAUCAUUUUCUUUCCCAGUUUGCCCAUCGACAACCUGAAAUGUCUUCUCCACCCCCAUACCUUCCUCCUGUAGAGGCCUCCGCCGAUCGGAAAAGACGCCGCGACGAGAUGGUGGAGAUAGAGGAGGAGGGGGAGUCGCCGGAGAUCUCCUCGCCCGAGGCCAAGCGCCUCCUCCUCGACAUCCUUGACGAUGACGCCGAUGCCGGAGACCAGGACCUCGCCUCCGUCAUGAAGAGCCUCGAGGAGGAGAUCGCCCUCCCCUCGCCGCCUCCGCAACCGCAGCUGCUCCCUCUGGCCGCGGUGGACCAGCCCGACCUAGGGUUCCUCUUCGAGGCCUCCGACGACGAGCUCGGCCUGCCGCCCCAGGCCGACGAGCGCUGCGAGGCACCCGAGCCGGAGGUCGCCGAGGAGAGCGCCGGGUUUGGCCAGAUCUGGGGGUUCGACGACGGCGACCUGUGCGGAUACGAAGGGUUCGAGUUCGGGAUCCGGCCGGAGGAGCGGGCGGAGGCGGACGACGGGGUGGUGUUCGACGGCGGGCUGUUUGAUUACGCCGACGUGGUGCCCUGCGGGCCGUCCGAUUUCGCGGAUCUAUCGUGGCGGCCGGAGACGCUCCCGGCCGUCUGAUGACAGUCCGGACGCUUUUGUUCUUCCUUCUUUAAACCCCCCCCCUUCUUCAACUUUUCUUUUGUUCUUUUCCUUCUCUUUUGAGGAGCGGUAGGCGGUCGUUGUAAAGCUUAGAAAAAAGAAGAUGAAGAAAGAAGACGCUUGUGAACGAGAAUCGAACGAACGGUUUCGCACGAUAUUUCGAAGAAGGAAAUCAAUCUUUCGUUUUCUAUUUCGACAGCGUCAUUUUAUCAUCCACCUUAUUCGACCUUUGGAUGGACAUCCGACGGUGCAGAAAUGGGGAUCCCAAUAAUCUCCUUGGAUGCUCCGCUCGUCGCUUCUUGAUGACCAAAACAGAAAACCUAACAGCAGAAUAAAAAGUCGAUUCAACCCAUGAAGCACCAGUCUUAUUCGUUCAUUAAAUAUUUCUAACAUUCCGUUGCGUAGUAACGAGUUAUGCCAUUAUUCAUAUCCCGUAUUAGCUAAGAAUUAUGCUCAAUAAAUUAUAUUAUAAAUUGAUUACGAAUGGUGUAUGACUUGGUUGUGUGUGGGACCUGAGUUUGGUGGCAAGCAGUUUCGGAAACGUGUCGGGCUCUGUACGAGGCCGGCGCAGCGAGUUCUGUGAUGGGCCUUCUUCGUCUGUCUUUGCAUCUUCGCAAAGAAUGUCUGUUUCCCUUCCUUGCACUUGCGUUCCUUGGGUUGAUUCCGGCCUCGACCUAGUUGCAUGGCGUGAUUGGCAGUGGAGGACAUUAGAAUUCCAUCCUACGAGGUCUGCUCUCUUUCCUUUGUUGCUUACAAUCGAUGAAGAAUGGAUCUUUACAUGCCGCGAUCAAGGCCGCCUGUUUUUAGAGCCUCUUUUGGUAGGUCGAAACCUAAUUUUUUUUGCAUCACCUAAAUUUAUGGCAUCACCUUAGUAUGACGACGUUGUGUUCGACGAUAUGCCUCUUUUGUUUUCAUUCAUAAUCUUAUGUUUUCAUUAAUCAAGUCUAGUUCUCAUUGGAUUUCCGGUGCGGUGCCACGCCCCUUUUUGCUGGUGAGUAAACACAACACAUUAUAAUUUUUCCGGUGGUAGGAGGUCUGCGGGUGAAGAAUUCAGAAAAACUGGGACAAAGGAGAUGGAUGAAGAGUCUACUUUGUGGAGUGGGAGCGAGGACCAUUAAUGCUACCUGAAUGAUCAUGGUGAUCCGUAUAUAAUAAACAUACAGUUUGAGCUUGAGGAGACAUCCAAAUAUCGACUGUUGAAGGCAGAAAAGUAGCACCAGGAGGUCUCUCAGGGAAGGCAAGCUACAAAGCUUGCUGCAGAAAAUGCACUGAAAAAUAUUUAAGAAAGUGUCGGACAGGAAUGUAUGGGAGGCGGCAAGUGAUCUAGAUAUCCGGAUUGGAGUUUUCGAAAACAUUGUUCCAGGACCAGGCUAUGCACAGCUUCGAGAGGAGGGUGGUCCUAAGAAGGGUAGACAUCCGAUUCUUCAAGGAUAGCACAGGCACAUAGAAGAGAAUCAGGAUUCGGAUUUUUCGGUUUGACAGAAAAUUUCAUUAGAUCGUGAAAGACCAUUUGUCUAUGAUUUAAUAUGCCAAGUUAGAGUCCUCUGAUGAAGUAGAUCAAUAUGAUGGUUGCUUGCAUCAUCCCAAGGAAAGAAAUUCUCUGGUCUAACCUGACCAAUUUAUCAUCCACCUGUUUCUCCUGCUACAUAUAUUCGAGCCCGUCGUCGAUGGAAAAGUGAAGAAUGAGUAUUUCUUGUUUGUGUCUGUUGUUUCUUCGAUCCAUCUAUCUCUCUCAUGUCUUUGUUACCACAUGCAUGCAAUCGAAUUAAGUUCACUGAGGAUUUAUAUUUUGAUUCCAGAGAAACUGUGUUCUCAUUUACGCUUCGUGCGUUCUUCCCAUCUUUGUUAUGUCUUUUGUCCCAUUAGUUAACACUCGUAACAUGUUGAUGUUCACCGGAAAACUCGUACAGGCGAGGGAUGGACCAUGGUACGUUGUCCUUUCUAGCUACUGCAAGUGGAUCAAGUGGUAAACUUGCAGCAAAUUUGAUCUGCAACUCGAGUUAUAAGGCCAAGGACUAUUGUAUGUUUGUUUUGAAUAGGUAUGUGUAUAAUAUUUCUGCCAUUGGACUUAGGAAGGAAGUUUCUUGCGAAAUGAUGCACCGACCUGCUCCCAUUUCUAAAAUAUGCCCCAUCUGCUUAGGCUUAGCGAGUUGCAACAUAAACAGUUUGGGUUGGGAAGGAGCUUUUCAUUGCAGUGUGUGGUAUGGAAUGUAUCUUGUUUCUUGUCUGCACCGAUCCAAGGAUGGAUCAUUCUGGCACGGUCAUCCUCUCAUAAUGGUUAGUUUCUUGAUCCUUGAUCAAGAAGAAAAAAACGAAAGCCAUGCUCCUUGAUCCCCCGGCCAAUCCCUGUUUCUCGAGGCUUUUGUUUUGUGAAUCCUCUCGCCCUUUCUCUCAUCAUAUCCCCCUCCUGUACGAAAAGCAAGUGACAAAUCUCCUUGUGCCACUAAAGCUGACUCCCAUUGUCUAAAGACUUGUUGCGGGGACAGUGUUUUCGCCGCACAGUGUCUCGUACGGUUCCAGCUUUUGUCCAUCGUUCCUCUGUCUUUUGGUCUCCCAUGCCGACAUUGGAGCACUGUUCCGUGAGCCUCACAUGGGUGUUGGUGCCGCACAGUGAAAGGCUGCUGACCUCCUCUGUCUGUGAGACUUAAGUUUGACCGUCGGAGAAAGGAAGACUCGACCAUCAACGGUGAUCAUUCUUUUGAGAUAUCUGUAUCUUGUCGUGCACUGCCAUUCUUUAUCCAUCUUUCGAGGACUCGGGCCCUGAACCCUGCAGCUGGUUGGUCAUCUUUAUAGAUACCACGGCAUCGGUGAUCUUAUUAUAUCUUAUGUUGCUGCCCCGGUGGUUAAUUGUCCAUAUAUUUGAACUCAUAAUUUCUUUAAUCUCUUCGUGAUGCAUUGCCCCCCUUGCACUCAUUUUAGAUUAUCUAUAACAGUGUGGCUCUCAGUUCUUACCUUGUGGAAUUGUACUUGUAUUGAUUGGGUAACGCAUAUUUGCCUAAAGGUUACAAGUAAAUUAUAUGAAUAAUUUAAUUGUGGACCAAAAUGAGGAUGGUAAUCAGUAGCAUCGAGGACGGUGGGAAGCACAAGAACAAGGGGACGAGAAGAUGCUCGACAACAGCUUGAGCUAACAUCAAGAAUGCUACCAGUUCGAAGCACCACCGACUAUAGGAAACCAUAGCAGCUACGAGGAAGGAAGAAGGGAAAGAGAGAGAGAGAGAGUCAACCCCCCCCCCCCCUUGUCUCCUGAAAACCUACCAUCUACAUGAUAAUACAAGCAUUAGCGUUCUCAUCACUGAAAAGAUGAGUGGCACAGAAGCCGUUGUCUACUUGGCUGCUGAGAUAGCGAGGGCUCGGGCAGUAGUUGUAGUAGCCAGUGUAGGAGGCGAUCUGAGGGGACCUGAGGUGCAUCAUCUGAGGCUGCACGCAUCUGCCGUCGUGCAUCGCCAUGCUGUGCCCUCUCGAGUUGUUCGCCAUGGAUGGUGGAUGGUUCGGGUACCCCUGCUUGUUCACCAGCAAUGCCGACUGGUAUUGUGCCCCACCAGCAUUUCGUGGCAAGCCUCCAUUGCUCCCAACGAGACCCAUCAUCACAUUAUUCGCCUGCGUCAUCCUUUGUCCCUUCCCUGCCUCAGGAUUGCCACUCGCCACCUUCUUGUCGUUGGCUGCAGCAUUGACGCCUUUUGGCUGUGACCCACUUGAGCUUUUCACGGUGUGCUCUGCCUCUCUGCUCUUCCAUCCGCUGCUGCCAUUUGUUGGCCUCGCGCUGGCUGGUGCAUUGUUUGCCUGCCUCGUUAAACUGAUUUGCAUCAUCUUAUGGUCGAGGAUUUGCAGAUCAUCGUCGUCUUCAUCUUCGUCGUCAUCAAUAUCAUCAUCAUCAUCAUCAUCAUAGUCUUCCUCGUCGGAGCUGGACGAGGGAAGCUUGUUGUGCUGGUGUUUGAAGGCUUUGAGGCCUCGCAGGAGGCCUUGUUUGCCUCGCCCUUCGAUCUUCGUGUUGGCUUCCUUCAUGGGAUUGGCAACUUGCUUCGGUGGUGGUGGUGGUGGUUUUUUUUGAUGGAUGGACUUCUGAAUCGGGGUAAGCUUUUGAGACCAAAGCUCCGCACGCUUACCUGCUCUGACCAGCUUCCUGAUGAGGGUUUCAGAGUCCACAUUCCCAGAAACUGUGACCUUCUGUUCUUCUAUAUCUAUGCUGACUGAGAAGACUCCUGAGUGAGAUGCACAGAACAAGAGGUGCAUGAUGAACAUCAAGUUUCUAGUCAAAUCAGGAGUUGUAUCUGCUGUCCAUGGAGGAUAUAACGAACGUUAGAUCAGGUACCUUCAAUUCUAUGGAGGAGCUUCGUAACUUUGUGCUUACAUCCAUCACAAUGUAUGUUCACCUUCAGGACGUGGGUCUGCAAGAACCAACCAAACAGUUUCGCUUCACUAACUCCUCUUCUCGCAAGAUACAAACGAAACAGAGAGGAGGAGAGGUACCUGGAUCUUGAGGAGCUUGAAGUCUUCGCCCUUGACCAUUUCAGCCGCAAUUCCUUCCUGCUGUCUGGGAGAUCACAAAGGAACAGGACGCAGUUCCUUGUCUGCAGGGAGAGAAGCUAAGCCUCGGCAUGCAAGACUCGUCUCCUCCACCAUCCCCUGCACUUCCCUCUAUAUACCUCGGGGCACCCAACAGGACACCACUUCUUUUGUCCACUGCUCGCACUAUGAUUGAUACAAACACGCACUCUCCCUUUUCUUUUCCUUUUUUUUUUUUUCUCUCUUUUUCUUUUUCUUUUUUUUGCUUUGAUAGAAGAGAGUAUGUAUGAUUAGGUCUGUCUGAGAACAUCGUCCAAUGUUCUGUGUGCGUUGGGAUCCUCCCCGCGCGUAGAUUUGGCGUCUGGAGAGCCAUCCAAUGGCUGAGACAAAGCAGCUAAGCGCUGAGGGGAGGAAACGAAGAAAGGAGAUCGAGGAGAGAAGCCAUGCAGCAGCGACCUGACCUGACCUGACAUCUGCAUUGCUUCCUGCAUGCAUAGCCCUGCACAGGCUCGUCUCUUUGCAUCUGGUGCCCAUUUUUAUCGUCUCCAUCUUCUUCUUUUCUUCUCCUCUCUACUCUCUCUUUCGCCUGUUCUGCUCCUGUGCCCGCCAUAAACCCAGAAACACAGCUUAACGUUUGACGAAACACCUCCAAAUCAAUCACGUAGGCUCCUGUCCGCUAAAAGCAUUCUCUUGGACGUUGUUAAGAACCAGCGUGGUUGUCCACCGCUGAAAGAAUGCGUAGGUUGUGGUAACAAGAACGAUGGGCCUCGGGCCAUCAUGCUCCGCUCACCUGUAACCAUAGGUUUGGUAUCAGUCCACGAGCUUUGAUGCAUUCUCUUAAAGUUAGGAGGCGGCAACGAGUUCAGCUGUUUGUGCUGUAGAAAGUAAUCUUAAUUUAGGGUGAAUUCAGAAGCAGAGUGGCCCGAAGACGACGACGACGACUCAUUACUUUGGAAGCUGAGUUAGAGCUCCAUGUCGGUAGGGGACACUUUGGACGUCAAAGUUGGGUCGCGUAUGGAUCCAAAUCCUUGACUUCUUCCUUCUUCCACCGGUACGCAUGCACUUGGAGGAAAAGCUGAUCACAUGGUCUGUGGCAGACAAACAAUUAGGUGAUCUACAAGUAAUCUUGGUAAUGACAGGAGAUUAGAUGCAGAGAUACAAAUGGUUGUCCACCUCAACCUCAUUGGAUAUUGCAUUUAUUAAGAGUCAAAUCUCACGAGACUCCAAAAGUUAGAGAAAAGAAGAAAUCAACAUCCGAGUUCAUCAUUAAUCACACACACACACACACACACACCAUCACAACAUGGUCAAAAGUUGUGACAAUUUGGUCAUCAUUCCUGGGCAACUCACUGACUUGUAUCUAUUAAUCUGACAAAGCUGGGAAAUUAGCUGGAACCAAUACGAAA